GGCGCUGUGGACGCGGAGGGAAGAGGACUGGCGAGGAGUUCCAGGGGACACCAGGGGGCGCCGUGGCCUCUCUUUCGGAGCUGUUCAGGGUGGGGCAGGAGGACUGGCUGUGGAGGGGAGGGGAAGGCUUCCAUCCGGGCUGAGCUGGCAGAGGCUGUGAGUCAGCGGAGCUGGAGAUGCUUUGAUAACAGAGGGGAGGCUGGUCACAUUUGGACACAGGAAGUGCCCCCUGGCCCCCUGGCCCCCUUCUAGGGACCCCUGGUAUCAUCUGAGGACUCUCAAUGUCAUUGGCAAGUGGUGUCCCUCUGUACCUCAGUUUCCCCAUCAAGGUGAGGAGGCAGAAUCUAUUGCUCCUGAAAUAUCUGUUAGAAAGGGAAGAGGGGAGCCUUCCUGGUGGCUGAAGUUAACUGAAGCUAGCCAAAGCUAGCCAAAGCGGCCCUCCCUGGUGGCGCAGCGGGUUAAAGCACAGCACUAAGAAGCUUAA